rnacentral:rRNA from 1 species
GAUGAACGCUGGCGGCGUGCUUAAUACAUGCAAGUCGAACGAACAGACCAGGAUCUUUCUGCUCUGGCGUUGGCGCCGGACGGGGGAGUACCCCGUAGUUACCCGCCCUAUAAGACUGGGAAACCUUCUGGAAACGGGGCCUAUUACCGGUUGUUCUAUUGAUCCGCAUGGGUCGAUAGUGAUAGACGGAUUUUCUUUCGCUUAUAGAUGGAUCCGGGCCGCGUUGGCUAUCUGGUAUGGUAACGGCUUACCAAGGCAAAGAUGCGUAGCCGAUCGGCGAGGGGGAUCGGCCACACUGGAACUGAGACACGGUCCAGACCACUACGCGAGGCAGGGGUGGGGAAUCGUCCACAGUAGGCGGAAGGCUGACGUAGCAACGCCGCGUGAGGGAUGAAAGUGUUCGGAUCGUGAUGCUCUGCUAUGAGGGAGGAACAAAUGUGUAAGUAACUAUGCACGGCUUGACGGUACCCGAGCAUAAAGCCCCGGCUAACUACGUG